rnacentral:rRNA from 1 species
AAUUUUGGACAAUGGGGGAAACCCUGAUCCAGCCAUCCCGCGUGUAUGAUGAAGGCCUUAGGGUUGUAAAGUACUUUUGGCAGAGAAGAAAAUGUACCUCCUAAUACGAGGUACUGCUGACGGUAUCUGCAGAACAAGCACCUGCUAACUACGUGCCAGCAGCCGCGGUAAUACGUAGGGUGCAAGCGUUAAUCGGAAUUCCUUGGCGUAAAGCGUGUGUAGGCGGUUCGGAAAGAAAGAUGUGAAAUCCCAGGGCUCAACCUUGGAACUGCAUUUUUAACUGCCGAGCUAGAGUAUGUCAGAAGGGGGUAGAAUUCCACGUGUAGCAGUGAAAUGCGUAGAUAUGUAGAGGAAUACCGAUGGCGAAGGCAGCCCCCUGGGAUAAUACUGACGCUCAGACACGAAAGCGUGGGGAGCAAACAG